rnacentral:rRNA from 1 species
CAGUCGCCACGGUAAUACGAAGGGGGCUAGCGUUGCUCGGAAUGACUGGGCGUAAAGGGCGCGUAGGCGGUUUAUACAGUCAGAUGUGAAAUUCCUGGGCUCAACCUGGGGACUGCAUUUGAUACGUAUGGACUUGAGUGGAGAAGAGGGUCGUGGAAUUUCCAGUGUAGAGGUGAAAUUCGUAGAUAUUGGAAAGAACACCGGUGGCGAAGGCGGCGACCUGGUCUUUAACUGACGCUGAGGCGCGAAAGCGUGGGGAGCAAACAGGAUUAGAUACCCCAGUAGUCCCUGUCUCUUAUAC